CCUACGGGGGACAGCAGUGGGGAAUAUUGGACAAUGGGGGGAACCCUGAUCCAGCCAUGCCGCGUGUGUGAAGAAGGCCCUCGGGUUGUAAAGCACUUUCAGUGAGGAAGAACGCCUGGUGGUUAAUACCCAUCAGGAAAGACAUCACUCACAGAAGAAGCACCGGCUAACUCCGUGCCAGCAGCCGCGGUAAUACGGAGGGUGCGAGCGUUAAUCGGAAUUACUGGGCGUAAAGCGCGCGUAGGUGGCUUGAUAAGCCGGUUGUGAAAGCCCCGGGCUCAACCUGGGAACGGCAUCCGGAACUGUCAAGCUAGAGUGCAGGAGAGGAAGGUAGAAUUCCCGGUGUAGCGGUGAAAUGCGUAGAGAUCGGGAGGAAUACCAGUGGCGAAGGCGGCCUUCUGGACUGACACUGACACUGAGGUGCGAAAGCGUGGGUAGCAAACAGGAUUAGAUACCCUUGUAGUC
rnacentral:rRNA from 1 species